rnacentral:tRNA from 1 species
GCCGAAGUGGUGGAAUUUGGUAGACACGCUAUCUUGAGGGGGUAGUGCCCGAGAGGGUGUGCGGGUUCGAGUCCCGCCUUCGGCACCU